GGCGGCGAGGCCGGGGGCUGUGGACCGGCCCGCCGGGGAGGGGCCAGGGAGAGGGGGGCGGCCCCUCGGUCAGCGCGGCCCGGAGGCCAGACCCGGUGCCCAGCUCCCCAGCGGGCGCCUGCCCUGGGCUGUAGUACGGGAGCCUCGGCAGUCUCGGGCGAGAGUUUCGGGAGAGGGUCCCGAGAUCCCGCCUUGCGGGGUUCGGAACCCGGCCCUGGCCCGCGACUCGGACCUACCCCGAGCAGGGCCCCGGUGAGGCCGCGGUGCCCCCGCUUUCAGAGCCCCGCCGCGCGCGGAACCGCAGGAGCAGGACGUCCACCGGCGGUUUGCGAGCGGCGGGCUCGGGAUUCUAGGCUUCUCCUAUUGUGACUAUUUGUAGUUUGUAAGUUUUUUUCUAGUGAACACUGUGGUGCUUUUUCAUUAAGAGCGGCGAUUUUUUCAAGGCGCCUGCAGAAGUUGAGCGGCCCGGCCCCGCAGUGUGAGCGGCCCCUUUCCAGACUGCAGGACUGCGCGUUCCUGGGCCCGGGACCCGGCUCCUCCUCCCUCGGCUCCCCGGCCGGCCCCGCCCCGCCCCCGCCCAUGCCCCGCCCUCCACUCCUGACCCCGCCCCUCCCCCGGCUGCGGCGAAAAUCCGGAGUGGCGGAUUGCCCUCUGCUCCGCGGGAGCCGGCUGUGGGCUCCUGCAGGAGCGGUGCCGGGGGUGCGGCUGACGCCGCUCCGCGCUCCCUCUUCUCACUCUGUCCUGGGCGAGCCACGCGGGGCAGCGCCGCGACCCCAGCCGCCGGCCCUGCCUCAGAAGCGGGUCAGGACCCGACUGAGCAUGCUCGCCCUCCAGCGCAGCGUGGCUCGACCAGGUGGACGCUGCCGGGACCCGGGGUCGGACCGCGCAGGGGAGGCGCAGGUGCGUGGUCCGGCCGCAGGUGCAGGGGACCUGGCUGGAAGGCGGGGGAGGGGCAUCUGGCCUGCAGGCUUGCCAGCCAGCCUGUCCCAGCUCUCCUCCCAGCUCUGCGUCUCUCCAGCUUCCUUCCUAAAUCACCACCACCACCUGCCCUAG
rnacentral:lncRNA from 1 species